rnacentral:rRNA from 1 species
UACGAAGGGGGCUAGCGUUGCUCGGAAUCACUGGGCGUAAAGCGCACGCAGGCGGAUCGUUAAGUCAGGGGUGAAAUCCCGAGGCUCAACCUCGGAACUGCCUUUGAUACUGGCGAUCUUUGAGUCCGGGAGAGGUGAGUGGAACUCCGAGUGUAGAGGUGAAAUUCGUAGAUAUUCGCAAGAACACCAGUGGCGAAGGCGGCUCACUGGCCCGAUACUGACGCUGAGGCACGAAAGCGUGGGGAGCAAACAGG